rnacentral:rRNA from 1 species
GAUGAACGCUAGCGGCAGGCCUAAUACAUGCAAGUCGAACGGGAUCCAGAUCAAAGCUUGCUUUGGUUUGGUGAGAGUGGCGCACGGGUGCGUAACGCGUGAGCAACCUACCCUUGUCAGGGGGAUAGCCCGGCGAAAGUCGGUUUAAUACCGCAUGACAUCAUUGAGAGGCAUCUUUCGAUGAUCAAAGAUUUAUCGGACAAGGAUGGGCUCGCGUGACAUUAGCUAGUUGGUAAGGUAACGGCUUACCAAGGCUACGAUGUCUAGGGGCUCUGAGAGGAGAAUCCCCCACACUGGUACUGAGACACGGACCAGACUCCUACGGGAGGCAGCAGUAAGGAAUAUUGGUCAAUGGACGGAAGUCUGAACCAGCCAUGCCGCGUGCAGGAAGACGGCCCUAUGGGUUGUAAACUGCUUUUAUACGGGAACAAACGUCGGUACGUGUACCGGUCUGAGUGUACCGUAAGAAUAAGGAUCGGCUAACUCCGUG